AGAACGUCGUGAGACAGUUCGGUCCCUAUCUGCCGUGGGCGCUGGAGAAUUGAGGGGGGCUGCUCCUAGUACGAGAGGACCGGAGUGGACGCAUCACUGGUGUUCGGGUUGUCAUGCCAAUGGCACUGCCCGGUAGCUAAAUGCGGAAGAGAUAAGUGCUGAAAGCAUCUAAGCACGAAACUUGCCCCGAGAUGAGUUCUCCCUGAGACUAUAAGUCUCCUGAAGGAACGUUAAAGACGAUGACGUUGAUAGGCCGGGUGUGUAAGCGCAGCGAUGCGUUGAGCUAACCGGUACUAAUGAACCGUGAGGCUUAACCUUACAACGCCGAAG
rnacentral:rRNA from 1 species